rnacentral:rRNA from 1 species
UACGAAGGGUGCAAGCGUUACUCGGAAUUACUGGGCGUAAAGGGUGCGUAGGCGGUCUGUCGCGUCUGCUGUGAAAACCCGAGGCUCAACCUCGGGCCUGCAGUGGGUACGGGCAGACUAGAGUGCGGUAGGGGAGAAUGGAACUCCUGGUGUAGCGGUGGAAUGCGCAGAUAUCAGGAAGAACACCGAUGGCGAAGGCAGUUCUCUGGGCCGUACCUGACACUGAUGCGCGACAGCAUGGGGAGCAAACAGG